AUGUUGUUGGCAGAAGCUGGAUGUGCGUUUAUGGGUUUUAUCCUGUACAUCUCAGGGGUUCAGGGACGAACAAACAGUAUAUGUGCCUUAAAAGGUUCAUCAGUGGAUCUGCCCUGCUCAGCUGAACAUCCCACUUCAAGCAUGAAAUGGUACACUGCACACUGGAGUGGAUCUACACUUGUUCAGAAUGAACUCUCUGUAGAUGGAAACCGUGUANNNNNNNNNNNNNNNNNNNNNNNNNNNNNNNNNNNNNNNNNNNNNNNNNNNNNNNNNNNNNNNNNNNNNNNNNNNNNNNNNNNNNNNNNNNNNNNNNNNNAACAUACAAUUAUAAGUUAGAGGAGAUGGUGGUGACAUUUUUAUCAGCUCAGUGUUUCCCCUGAUCACCUUCAAACAUUCUCUCAAAAUCUGACACCUCAUUUACACCUGGUAUUAAACUGCAAUCUGUAUCCGGUGAUCUUUCGUUCAGAUUUACAUCUGGUGUUUUUUGAUGCAUUCUCGUUAUCCUUAUUGAGAUUGGCUCGCUGUCCCCCAGAGCAAAACUUGCACGUGAGCAAUUAGAUUGGCGGCAGAUCAGCCCCAUGCUCCCUUAAAAAAACUCUUGUGAAUCAGAGGAAACUGUCUGGAACAAAUUCUUAAUUAAAAAUGAUAUCCAUUGUUAACAGCAGAUCAGCACAGAUGAGUGAAACACACAUUUAUUUCUUAUUGUAUGUCGUUAGGUUUUCCCACACACAAGUGCCAUCUUGUGGCCAAAAGCAAUAUAGCACCAGAUUCAACUGCACACUGCUAGUGUUCCAUAUAAUCUUAAAUUUUUUUUCCCUUAUUUGUUAUUGUAUUAUUUCUCUCGUGUGUACUGUGGUGAAAGAGAAGAAAGUAUUUUCUCCUGCAUCAGUACAUAAUUAAAACAUGUGUUUGUGUGGUCCUCCAGUAUGGUCACUAACAGUCUGGGUGAUCUCACUGCUGCAAGAAUGGCUCUUGUUCUACAUCACUGACACGCAUCUCUGUGUUGGAGUAAGUCACACACACAUUAAAAAUCUCUGACUGACAUUUUUUACAUUUGUCAAUCUUGCAGUUAGGUUUCUGUUUUUUAUGCACGUGUGUCUUUUUCUAGUAUUUCAGAUAAUAGUAUUGGAUAUGAAGGGUCAGUGAGUCUGUCCAGAGCAAUAAUGUGCAUGAAGAACCUCACCAAGAUUCAGUAAGACUCUGAAGCUCCUCUUACUGUUUUAGGAAUCUCCAAACCCUGAUAGAUGACUAAAUUUACUGAUUAUUAGUUUCAUGAUAAAUAAUGUCUUUCUGUUUCCUGUUUGGUCCGUCAGUCUGACCUCUGUUGGGACUCCAGAGCUGUGUGCUGUAGCUGCUAGUCUCACCCACUGUCUACUCAUACAGGAUAUGGGGUAAGGUUCAGCUGAUUAUAUAAUACAUUGUCAGUACAAAUGAUUAAAACAAACAUUAUUCGCCAGGGGCAGCAAAGUAAAUUAGCCAAUAUGGGACAUGAACAUGAUUGAUUCUGAUUUCUGAUGCACGGUUUGUCAGCGCUGAUCUAAAUGUUAUACAUAUGUGUCUGUCUCUGUCUCCAGUCUGGGGUGGAAUAACUGUGAGGAUAAAGUGGCAGUGGAGUUGGCCAAAGUUAUCCCUUUCUGUCAGAAGCUGACCAGAAUAGAGUGAGUUUGUGAACACACACACACACACACACACACACACACACAGAGACACAAUAAUCUUUAUUCAUUUAGGCAGUGGUGGAAAGUAAUGAAAUACAUUUAAGUUCUGACUAAUAUUAAAUAAUACUUACAGCACAUUUUCCUGAUUAUAGUCAGAUACUUUCACUUAGAGGACCAGUGUGUAGGAUUUAAUGGCAUCUAGUAGUGAAGUUACACAUUGUAACCAUUUGAAUACCACUCAGCCUUCCAGGUGUGUAGGAGAAACUGUGCCGGUCACAGAAAACAUGAAAGCCUUAAAGUCGUGUCCUGCUCUGCAGCUCAUCAGGUAAAGUGUUUGGCUCCUUCAGGCACCUGUAGAUUUAGUUUCUCACCUAUACUGUAGUCCCACCUAGUGAAGCCCACAGGCUCAGUCUGAGAGACAGGAGGCUGAAUUUCUCUCCUACCUAAUGUGAUCUGCAUUGUUGGACGGUGGCAGUGUGAAGCAAUAUUCCAGUUCAUGGGAAUCUGCAAAGAUGAAUGACUGCUUCAGUGGAGUUAAAAUGUGUUUUCCCUGCAGUAAGCCCAUCAGAAAUGCAUGAUAGCAAAAAAAAAAAAAAACCCAAUCAGUUGUGUAUCCAAUGACUGCAGCAGCUGGUGUCUAGUAUGAAGGGUUAGAAGACCACUAUGUGGUCCACUAUGUGGUCCACUAUGGGGGAGGACUCCUUUAGAUGUACAUUGUUUGAAUAUGUAGAAGUUAGUAUACAGUUCUCAUCCCUUUUUGUGUUCCCCUAAAAUAUUUAGAUUUUUUUAAUCUCAAGAGCUGCUUGAGGAAGUGAUUGAGUACUUGAGUAUUUAAGUACAUAUGAAUGUUAAGGUAUUAUAUUUGGGAAAGCAAACAUCUGUUUUUAUGCUUAUAUAAAUGAAUGACUAUGCACUGACUGACCUCUAGUGUCGCGAUGGUGAACUGGCGAUUUGAGUUAAGUGCAGCAGUGUUGCUGCACUCUUCACGGUGACACGGUGUCUCUUUUUCCAUGGUCUAUGAUUGGUAUGGCGAUCCUGACGUAGGUGUAUUAACACCCUAAUCUUAACUAAUGUGUCUCCAACUGUGACAGACAGCUGGCUGACAGGACACACAGACGGCCAUCCUUAUAUGGCUGCCUUUAUACUAAUCUAAUUAUAUGACAAAAAUGUCAUAAAGUCGCUGCUCAGUAACUGCAGUACAGCCGUGUUCCUAUAUGGUGAAUUCAAACUGAGAUAAAGUUGGAGUUGCUGUGGGAAUAUUCAAAAUGAUCAAAAUAAGCACCAAGAAUGAUUUUACAGCAACUACUUUAAUCACUAGAAUAAAUUUAUGAUUCAGAAAUUAACAUAACAUACAUAAAGUUCCCAUGUAUGCACCAGAAAUAGAUUUGGCAGAAUAACCACUGAAGAAACAAAACACUAAUUUGAGGUUGUCUGAGACACACUUCUUUAUUUUUCUAUUUUCUAUGUGUGUUUCUGUUGGCAGCUGUAGGUAGGUCGUUCCAAACUGUACAUACUGUUCAGUAACACGAACAUUGAUAUCUGAUAAUGAU
rnacentral:lncRNA from 15 species